rnacentral:tRNA from 1 species
AUCUGAAUAGUUUAAGAGUAAAAUAUUGGUUUGUGGUGCCGAUGAUAUAGUUAUAUAUUUUAGAUU